CAACCUUGCUAUCUGGAUCUUGCUCAAGGCAGGCGUCAAGGACAGCAUCGGAGAUUUGGUCGCAGAGCUUGUCUGGGUGUCCCUCGUUCACCGACUCGGAGGUAAACAGAAAUGUCUCUGCCAUCUUUGAACUUUCUAAACUGCACGACAACCCUACAAUCAGAACCUAAAUGCAAAUCCACAAAAAGGGAACAUAACAGUAGCAUAAUAUUCAGCAAGGGAAAAGCUUUUGAGACAAAAGUACUGUUUUGUAACCAUACAAACAAGCAAUUAACCAAAGGGAAGUGGAUCUAGCAGAAGCACGUGACAAACCAAAUCUCUCUAAUGGAGUGUCUAUAUUUAGUAGCAGAUAGUGUUGCAAGCAGAAUUAAGUACUAAAGUUUUAAUUUAAACAAGUAUAAAGAAAAAACAUAAUACUUACAAGCAUGUACAACAUCAAAAUCAACAGAAACCCUCUAAUCAGUAAACCAUAUCUAAGCAAGCACAACGUCAGAGUUUAACUAGAAACCAAAAAUCCCCAAAAGUUAAUACUUUCACAAACUAUCUUUAGAGAAAGGCCGUUUGUGUUCGAUAUGGAGUAGAUCUGAAAGGGUAAAGAGUUUCUGCAGCAACUAAAGAACCAUAACAGUAAUAACAAUAACCAAUCAAAACCCCUUCGGAGAAACAGAGAUCGACCCAGGGAAGGAAAAAACAAAGCAAAUCGACCCAUAAGUGCAAGAUCCCAAAUCAAGAAAGCGUGAAGAAAGAGAAGUUUAGAAGAGACGAAAAGAAGAAAAGUAACCUGAAUUGUAGAAUAGCAGAGAAUGAGAGAGUAUGAACGAGGGUGGGUGAAAUGUAGGCACUAAGUUGACAUUUAUAGGGAAAAUGGGUGAGUGGUGCAAUUUAAUGACGGAAAUGCCCUUAGUAAGAUAAACAUAUUGCAUAUUGGCUGGUUAGACAUCAAUAUAUUCUUUUACACCAUUUCUUAAAUCUAUUUUUUAUUGCUUAAAAUUUAUUAUAAAUUAUGAGAGAGUAAUUCACUGAGUUAUAUAGUCUAUAUUUUUUAUUUUCCAUAUUUUUUAGUUCAAUCAUUAAAAAUUUAUUCAAACAAUAUGUUUAUGUUCCCAUAAUGGUCUCUUUUAUAAAUAUCAUAUUUAUUUUAUAUAUAAAUGUAUUUUGGAAUGAAAAAAAAUACUAGUAUUGAUGAGUAUCCCGAGAUAAAAUAUGUGAUGGCACGGGCGAAUAGUAAAUAACGGGUAUUUAAUACUCGUUUAUAACAUAUUGUUGAUAUUCAUUACUUAUAAAAAGUUAAAAUAAAAAUUUAACUUAUGUUUUCUUAAAUUAAAUUUAAUUAAAAAUAAUAUUUUAUAUUCUAUUUUACUGAAUUUAAUUUAAUUUAUAUUUUAUUUUAUUUUAUUGUAACUUUUUAGAUUUAACUUUAAAAUUUUAUAAAAUAUAUCUUUUAAAUAUUAGUGAAUAUCCAUUAUAUAAAUUUUAAAAUACUCACAACUAUUUAUUAAACUGUUAUAAGAAGAAUAAAAUAUGGAUAAGGGAUGAAUUUUUUUUUUUCGAAUGAGAUUGCAUGUAGGCAUUAUCUCUGUAAACAAUCCAGUCUAACUUAUUACCAUCUCUAGUUAGAAUGAUAUUUUUAUUAAAAUUUACAUUUUUAUUAAAUAUUUUUAGAAUUUUUUUUAAAUCAAUUCUAACUAUGUUAUUAAAAUACUACUAUAAUGUUUAUGUUUGAUGUUUGUUACCAAUAAUUUUAACAUUUAUAUAAAAAUUAAAUUUAAUCUUAAUUUAAUAAAACAAAGUUGUUUCACUUUUGAAAAAUGAAACUAAAUCCUAUCAAAACAGUCAAUAUAUUAAUAAAAUUAAGGGUUAAAUAUGUUUUUAGUCCUUAUAAUAUGGAUCGAUUUUGGUUUUAGUCCCUCUUUCAAACUAGGAUACAAUUUAGUCCUUCAAUUUUAGAAAACUCUAGUUUUAAUCCUUUUUAUCAAAUUUUUUUAACUUUAUUUGUUGUUUCAAGCAUGUUUCAUUAUAGCAUUUUGAUUGUUUACACUGUUUGACACAUUUUUGUUUCAAUGUUAACUGAGAAACGCGUUUGAAACAACAAAUAAAGUUAAAAAAAUUUGGUAAAAAGGACUAAAACCAGAGUUUUCUAAAGUUGAAGGACUAAAUUGUACCUUAAUUUGAAAGAGAGACUAAAACCAAAAUCACCCAAAGUACAUGGACUAAAAAUAUAUUUAAUCCUAGAAUUAAAUAUAAAACAAUUAUGUAUGACAUAAUCAUUGUCAUAUCGUAUUAACAGUGUUAGGUGACGCUAACUUGACCCAAGAUCAACAUAGAAUAAUAAUAAUAAAAUAAAAAAAAUUAAAAAACAAAAAUAAAAUCCCGAUAAAGUGACAGGUGUAUUCAUAUUUUUAAGUAUUAAUGGAAAUAACUAAUUAUAUUAAUUUUUCAAAAGCUGACACCUAAGUAAGAAAAAAAAUAAAAUUGGGGAAUAUAUUUGUAAUAUCUUGAUAAAAUUUGAAAAGAAAAACGUAUUUAAAUCUUUCCAAAAUUAUCAGGAUAUCAUUGAUUGUUAAUUAAUCUCAUUACAAUCAAUUAUAUUUUUUUUAUAACAUUUGUUAAUAUGUAUAUUAAGGAUGAAAAGUGUAAUUAAAUUUUUUAGUUACAGAUUAAUUAGACUAAUUAUUUAUAAUUUCAAAGAUUAAAUUCAUCAUACAUAUUUUAAUCAACUGUAAUAAUAUAUUUUUUUUAUCUAAAUACGUUUCAAACUGGUAUAUCCAAAUUAAAUGUCAGAUAUAUUCUCUCACAUAAAAAGACUGAAAUGUCGUUUAACACACAAAAACAAUCUAACAUUAUUGAAUUAAAAAAAAAAUAUUCCUUUAUUUUAAAAUUUGAAAAAUAAAAUGUGUUAAAAUUUAAAACAAAAAAAAAAAAUUCAAAUUCGCCAAGUAUAAAUAUACCUAACCCUAAUUUAUAAUUUUACAAAUUAUUUUGUUAGUUUUAUAGUAAUUCGAUUGUAAAUUUUAAAGCGUUUUAAGGAAAUAAAAAACAAUAUUUGUAAAGUUAGACAAAAAUAUUUAUUAGUAAGACGGAAAAUACACAAUUAAUAGAAAAGCGUUACAAAUAUAAUUGGUCAACGUUUUUAAUCAAAUAUAAUGUUUUGAUAUCUUAUAUAAAUUAGUCUAUUAGUUAUCCAUUUUUCUUUCGGAAAAACCAAUACUCUGAGAAGAGUUUGUCUCUUAAAUUAAAUUAAUUAUGAUAUACCAUUUUAUAUAGUUUUUUUUUUUUCUUAAAGACCAACUUCAUUUUUUUUUUCUGGUAUCAAUACUAACUAUUGUCCAAAAAAUGAUGAAGCUAAAAUUAAAGUGUUGUUGGCAUGGCGAUUAUAUAAGAAGUAUGAAAGUUUGUAGUUGCUUGGUUUUUGUAAGACAAGGAUGAGACAUAUUCAUAUAUUCAUUAACUAUAAUCCGAAACCGAAUCUUGGCAUUGCAUGUGAAUUAUUCUCCAGCUCAACACAGAGGUGAGACACUACCAUUUUUUGUCUAUUUAAUUUUGAAAUAGGAAAAAUAACCCAAGCAUUAUAUUUAAAAACGAAUAGUCUCAAAUAUAAAAAAAAAAAUGUUGAACAUGGGGUGUCAAAUAUCAACAAAUUUUAUCAUAAUUUAUGAGAUUGUUUCUAAAGUUUCUUUCAUUUAUUGUUUUUAUAGCUUUUUUUUUUUACUUUUAAAUCAAAUUUUAAGAAAGGUUAAAUUAGGAAAAUUAUAAAUAAUACAAUUAAAUGUCACUUUUUAACCUUUUAAUUAAUGUUAAUUAACUAAACAAUACUAUUAUUAUUUGCAUACUGGGUAUAAGUAUGUUCAUGGUGACAAAAUUUGAAGUUGUAUAAAAGAACAUUGUUCUUUCACCUCUUUUCAUGUCAGAUACAAUCUCAAACUCAAAAAAUAUUAAAGAUUUUCGAGACUUAUAUCUUCCUCCAUCAGAUAGAUUUUCAAAUUAUGGAUUUUUCAUUCUCCUCAUCGUCUCUUAACUCAAAUAAUAAUUGGUCUCAAAUAAUGAUUGACCUAUUGUCUUUUGAAAAGGUAUUCACUUUACUCGUAAUUCUUAUUUGUUUUUAAUUUUUUGAGUUAUUAUUGUUUGUCUUUUCCAAAUUUCUCUUUUUUUUUUUCCUCUUUAUCUUCUAUAGUCUUAUUGAUGCAAUCGAUCGUCUCAAAGUUAGUCUAAUAAUGAAGGAACAUACUCAAGUCUAUACUCUCGAUUAUUAUAAUACAUUUUCUAUGGCUAAAAUCAUAACGGUUUGUAUACCUAGGAUAUAGAAUUUUUGUAUGAAGUUAAGAUAGAUUUAAUUACUCACACCUAUAUAUCUAUGACAGUAUGUAAACAUGAUCAUUUAAAACUUUUACGUAAUAGCGAGGAACACAAAUACGAAAUUGACGAACAUGGUAUAAUCAUCACUCCUCAUUUUCCUCUUUUUCUCUAAAUAAACUUUUUUCUGUUUUAAUUUUUUUUUUUCGUAACAAAUACUACAACUGUGAUGAUUUAUGGAUCUGUAAAGGAAAAAAAAUGUUAUUAUUUGUGAACAUUUUGAAGAAGUAUGCUACUUACUAAAGUUUAAUAACUAACUUAGACAUUUAUGAUGUGUUUUAAUUAAUGGAUUAAUUGUUCACAAAGAAUGAGAGGAAUGGACAUGCGAUGUUCAAUUGUAUUUUUUUUUUCAAUAAUUCCUGCAUAAGGUGAAGAGAAUUGAGAGUUUGCACUUCACAUCUGCAUUGCAACUUCUUAUAAUAAAUAAUAAUGUAUGAUAAAUAAUAUUAUUUAUAAUAAUAAAUAAUAGUAAAAUAUAAUAUUAUAUAAUAAUAACAUAUUAAUUUUAAUUAUAAAAACAAAAUAAUAAUCUUACAUUUUAAUUCAUUAAAACUUUAAUUUUUAUCCAUCAUAUGAGUAAAACCACUCACAAACGUCAUCCAAAAUUAAUUCACUCUCACUUUCAAAUCUUUUAAUAAAAACAUAAAAAUUUAACUUUCAAAUUCAUCUAGACAUUCUUUCUCAAUUUCAUCUUCACAAAAGAAGACAUUCUUAAAGUGAGUUUUGACAUAUAAGAUAUAUAAAAUAUAUAGUAUAAACAAUUACAUGUAUAAGAUGGGACCUCAGCAAUAAAUAUCUUUAGUUUCCGAUGACUGAUAAUGAAAUUCUGUACCUUGUAAAUAAAAAGGUUAAAUAAUAUAUGAAAAAACUCACAAUUUUGUUAUUUUUUUUUAUUAAAUAUUUACAUUUGAAAAAUAGAUGAAUGUUUCUGGAAAAAAUAAAGGAGAUUUUUAGAAUUUAGAGAAUGCAUCGGUAUGUUAUUAGUUGUUAAAAUUUAAGGGGUAGUUGUGCAACAAUACUUAGUUUUCACAAUUUUUUAAAAAAAAAAUAUCAGCUUUAAUAUAUUUUUUAAUUUUGAAAGUUAAUUUUGUUUUAUCUUUUUUAUCAUCCAAAUUUUAAACAUUUACAUGUGGAUAUAAUUUAGUGUUUUUGUUUGAAAGAGUCAUGUGAGUGGCAAUAAAAUCCACCGAAGAUACUGUUGGGUGCCACAUUUUUUGUUCAUGUGCUUUGGUUUCUGAAAGAGACACAAUACGAGGGAGAUCAACGGUCUACAUUUGCACACGCGUCGAGGUGAAAUGCACGAUCAGGAUGAGGUACCAUUUUAAUGCCACACUCAAUAGGGCCUCAUUCGUUUGGUAUGCCGGUUACUCACUUUUAUGCUACUUUUAUUUAUUUUAUACAUUCAUUUCAGAUUCUCCAUCAACCUCAACAAAUACACAGUGUUUCGUAACAACGCGAUCACAAUCCAAUACUGUUUCAAAUGUUACAUUUAAAAAAAAAAAAUUAAUAUAUUACUUCAGUAUCUAAUACUCAAAUUAGAAUUAAUUGUUAUUCUAAACUUUGAUUUAUUUUAGAUCUAAAAUGUAUAAAAUAAAUAAAUAUAGUCAUUUUAAUUUAAAAUAUUAAUUUUUUAAACUUGUUAAGUGGUGUUUUAAAUCAAUAUUUAAGUUAAAACGUAUUAAUAAAUAUAAGCCAUUUGAAUGGAAAUCUGAAACAUAUUUCACAUGUAAAAUAGUUUAACAAAAUUGAAUUAAAAUAGUUAUAUUUAUUUAUUUUUUAAAGUUAAAAUGCAUUUAAAUUUGAAAUAAAAAUAAAUUUUAAUUUUAGGUCAAUUUUUUGGAUUAAAAAUAUAUUUAAUAUUAAAAAGAUAAUUUUUUUUUACAUUAAAUCAAUUUUUUAUUGGUUAUUUUAUGUAACUAAAAUACUUUUACGCAAAAAGGGAAAUAAUUAAUAUUUACCAAAAGGAAAUUAUUAAGUUCUUAUUUGUUUGAAUAUCAAACAUGUUAAAAAAUUGAAAUAAAAAAAAAAGGAAUUUAUUAAAUACAAAGACAAAAGUGUGAGAUCAAUCAGUUGAAUUUUCUAUUAGGAAUUCACUUUAUUGGUCAUAGUCAUUGACACCCUCCUGCAGUCAUUUUUAAAUCAAGAAAGGAUCGCCAUUCACCUCCCAAGGAAACCCAACCACAUGUCUGCUCUUAAAUCAAGAGACCCAAUUUAAAUGAAUUAUUUGCUAUAACAACUGCUCUUCUUAAAAAAAAAAAAACAGUUACAAGUAACAAACACACAUAAUAUUUCAAUAUUAAUAUUGUGAAAUCUAUUUGAAAAUUUUCAAUUAGAGCAAAGAUUAAUUAGAUUGUAUAAUUUAAAGAAUAUAAGUCGACCUUGUAAAAGAUGUGAAGUAUUAUUACGAGAAGUAUUAAAAUGCACAUAACUCAAGACAGAGAUUCCUAGAAUCCAUAUCCUAACGGAUAGUAGUAUAUUUUUUAUAUGGCAACAAGAGAUACAUUGGUUGGGCAUACAGGGUACACUUUUUAAAAAAAAUUAUAAAUGAAGUACACAAAAGACCAAAAUAAGAGAAAGGAUAGGAAGAGGAAGAAGGGACACAGAACGUUUUGAAUAUUUGCUAUCACAUGAGCAACUCUCAAAAAACUCCAAGCACAGCGCGGUGGAAUGAAUUGCUUAGGCCUUUUCCCACUUGAGAGGCUUAACAACUUCCCAUGUGAAAUCAGGGUCCUCUCUGCCAAAGUGUCCAUAUGCAGCAGUCUUCAAGAACCGGCUAUUCCCACCCCUCUUCAGAUCAAGGUUGAUGGAAAUCAUACCAGGCCUGAAGUCAAAGUUCUCCUUCACAAUCUNCAGGAUCUCCUUGUCUNGGAUCUUCCCAGUUCCGUAGGUAUCAACGAAAACAGACAAAGGCUCAGGCACACCAAUUGCAUAAGACACUUGCACAAUGCAUCUUCUCGCAAGUCCACUCGCCACAAUGCUCUUAGCAGCCUGCCUCACAAUGUAAGCACCACUCCUAUCAACCUUCGUGGGGUCCUUUCCAGAGAAGGCACCACCGCCAUGAGCACCCCAUCCUCCGUAGGUAUCAAUGAUGAUCUUCCUCCCCGUCAGACCGGCGUCACCAUGAGGACCACCAAUCACAAAACGGCCAGAGGGGUUCAAGUGGAAAAUGGUCUUCUCAUCAAGGUACUUCUCGGGAAUCACGGGCUUGAUCACGUGUUCUUUCAGAUCAGCAGCAAUUUCAUCAUUGGUGACAGUCUCGUCAUGUUGAGUGGAGAUGAGCACGGUGUGGACACGAACUGGAACCAUGGCACCCUUGUCAUUGUAAUACUCAACAGUCACUUGGGUCUUGCCAUCAGGUCUGAGCCAGGGGCAGGUACCGUUCUUCCGAACCUCAGUGAGACGAGCCCCGAGUUUGGUUGCAAGGACGUGGCUCAAGGGCAUCAAUUCAGGGGUCUCGUCGGUGGCAUAGCCGAACAUGUGACCCUGGUCACCGGCACCGAUUUCUUCAGGUCUUUUGGUGAGGUGGCCAUGCACGCCCUGGGCAAUAUCAGGACUCUGCUGCUCAAUGUUCACAAGGACCUUGCAGUUGUCGGCAUCAAGUCCCACAUCGUCUGAGAUGAAGCCGAUGUUCCUGCAGGUGUCACGCACGAUCUUCUCGUAGUCAAUGUUGGCCUUGGUGGUGAUUUCUCCGAAGACCAUGACCAGGUUGGUUUUGGUGCAUGUCUCACAAGCAACCUUGCUAUCUGGAUCUUGCUCAAGGCAGGCGUCAAGNACAGCAUCGGAGAUUUGGUCGCAGAGCUUGUCUGGGUGUCCCUCGUUCACCGACUCGGAGGUAAACAGAAAUGUCUCUGCCAUCUUUAAACUUUUGAACCUGUAAACACACACAUACGAAAAAUGAAAUUAGUACCUGAAGGGGAUAUAAAUUCGCAAAAGGUUGUUAUACGCAUGCCUCAAAUUCAGACAGAAAAACUGAAAACAAGAGUGCCAUUUUCUAACUAAACAGAGGCCGUUGGGUUUAAGGGAAGGGGCCAAUUCCUUCCUCAGAGUCAGAAUCCCUAUCAGGAAAGAUGCCCAUAUAUGGUGACCCACUCAGACUAAAUUGAUUCCUCCUAAGGAAUAUAUGAGAAACAAGGAAAAAGAACUACAAAAAAGCAAUUACGAUUACAAAAUUCGCCAAACCCCCCAUCACAAAGCCAUAUCUCAGCACAAGGUCAAUGUUUGAUUGUAAGCUCAAAAUCCCCAAAAAUGAUGUUUUUUUUUUCAUAGCUUAAAUGUAAAAAAGAAAAAAAAAAAGCCAUUUGUAUAGAUUUAGAUUAGAUUUGAAAGGCUAACGCGUUCCCGCAG
rnacentral:lncRNA from 1 species